rnacentral:rRNA from 1 species
AGCAGCCGCGGUAAUUCCAGCUCCAAUAGCGUAUAUUAAAGUUGUUGCAGUUAAAAAGCUCGUAGUUGAAUUUCGGGGUUCUACCGUUGGUCGGGCUAACCAGUCUGUACUAGCGUGUAGAAUUCCUACCUUCUGGGGAACCAUCAUGUUAUUAAUUUAGCGUGGUGGGAAACCAGGACCUUUACCUUGAAAAAAUUAGAGUGUUCAAAGCAGGCUUACGUCUGAAUACAUUAGCAUGGAAUAAUAAAAUAGGACGGUGGUCCUGUUUUGUUGGUUUCUGAAUCACCGUAAUGAUUAAUAGGGAUAGUUGGGGGCAUUAGUAUUCAAUUGUCAGAGGUGAAAUUCUUGGAUUUAUUGAAGACUAACUUCUGCGAAAGCAUUUGCCAAGGAUGUUUUCAUUAAUCAAGAACGAAAGUUAGGGGAUCGAAGACGAUCAGAUACCGUCGUAGUCUUAACCAUAAACUAUGCCGACUAGGGAUCGGACGAUGUUAAAUUUUAUUGACCCGUUCGGCGCCUUACG